AAAGAGGUAAAACUUACCAUGAAGCCGUUCAUGUUCCUGCCGGAAUGACGCAAGGCUGGGAUCUUGACGAAUUUUCUCUGGCAGUGUUCGCCAUAUCUGCAACGCGCCUUCGGUUACUUCACUGGAAAAUACAAAAAACAAAGAAUUCACUAUAAAUAACACUCAUUAACAUGUUAAUUAAAACUUUAAAUUAAAUAAGCAUUUGAUUUAACAUCCAGAUAUCUUAUAGUAUAUAAUUCAAAGUUUUUUUUUUCUGUUCGUUCAACUGUUGUAGGUGUCGUUUUCAAUUCUCUGCGGUUAUAUCAUACAAAACAUUAUCUUGAUCACUCAAUCAAUUUAAUUUUACAACCACUCAAUCGAAGAAGUUUUGUAAAAAUAUAGACAAGAAAAAAAAAAAUGUAACAAUACUCUGACAACAAUGAUGUUCUUCGUUCUUGUCGUCGUCGUUGUCGUCGUUGCCGUGCACCACACCACAUUAUUGUAAUCAAAGCCUCAAGACUUUCGAGAGAACAUUUAAAUAAACUUUUAGGUGUUCAAACGACGUUAAACUGGAAGGCACAUUCAUCGGAUUUCAAACAAAAAAAUUAGCACGUUAUUAUACGCUAUGACUUAAACAACAUUUGAAAAAAUUCUUUUGACAUAAAAGACACUUUUUUUGCCCUGCGAUAUUGAUGGAUGAAUAACCGACGAAAUGUUUUACAG